AACGUGUCGCGAUGGAUGACUUGGCUUCCA
rnacentral:rRNA from 1 species